rnacentral:rRNA from 1 species
GAUCCUGGCUCAGAGCGACGUUUGCGGCGGGCCUAACACAUGCAAGUCGAACGGGCAGGGGCAACCCUGUCAGUGGCGCACGGGUGCGUAACACGUGGGUAAUCAACCCUUUGGACUGGGACAACCCGGGGAAACUCGGGCUAAUACCGGAUGUGGCGUGGCGGUCCUCGGACUGCUCCGCGAAAGCUCCGCAAGGGGCACCAGAGGACGAGCCCGCGUCCCAUCAGCUAGUUGGUGAGGUAAUGGCUCACCAAGGCGAAGACGGGUAGCUGGUCUGAGAGGAUGAUCAGCCACACUGGAACUGAGACACGGUCCAGACUCCUACGGGAGGCAGCAGUGGGGAAUAUUGCGCAAUGGGCGAAAGCCUGACGCAGCCACGCCGCGUGUGCGAUGAAGGUCUUCGGAUCGUAAAGCACUGUGGGGGGAGAAGAAACAAGCCGGUGAAGAGCCGGCCCUGACGGUAUCCCCUUAGCAAGCACCGGCUAACUCCGUG